rnacentral:tRNA from 1 species
GGCUCAUUUAGCUCAGUUGGUUAGAGCAUCGUGCUAAUAACGCGAAUGUCGUAGGUUCGAUUCCUAUAAUGAGC